AGGACUGUAGUUAAGUAUAACAUUUGGUUUGCAUCCAAAAAGUAUUGAAAUUCAAUCUGUCUUA
rnacentral:tRNA from 11 species